CUCGUUACCUUGUCCCCAUUUAUGUGUGUCUAUUACAUUGCUGCCUACUUGUCCCACCUCAGCUUCACCCAGACUCCAUCCCCUUUUUCCUACAUUUGGA